GACGAACGCUGGCGGCGUGCUUAACACAUGCAAGUCGAACGGAGCGAAUGAAAGCUUGCUUUUAUGAGCUUAGUGGCAAACGGGUGAGUAACACGUAGACAACCUGCCGACAGGAUGGGGACAACAUUCCGAAAGGAAUGCUAAUACCGAAUGAAGUCGAGGGAAGGCAUCUUCCUUCGAUGAAAGAUGGCCUCUGAAUAUGCUAUCACCUGUUGAUGGGUCUGCGUCUGAUUAGCUGGUUGGUGAGGUAACGGCUCACCAAGGCGACGAUCAGUAGCCGGUCUGAGAGGAUGAACGGCCACAUUGGGACUGAGACACGGCCCAGACUCCUACGGGAGGCAGCAGUGGGGAAUCUUCCGCAAUGGGCGCAAGCCUGACGGAGCAACGCCGCGUGAGUGAAGAAGGUCUUCGGAUCGUAAAGCUCUGUUGACGGGGACGAACGUGCGGAGUGCGAAUAGCGCUUUUAAUGACG
rnacentral:rRNA from 1 species